GGAAUAUAAGAAUCCGUUUUUUAGUUUUUAACUAAAAAAGUUAAGAACCAGCUCUUAAAACUCUUAUUUAAGAACCGAUUUUUAGUUUUUUUAGUUAAAAGUUAAAAGACGGUUUCUUAUAUUCC
rnacentral:pre_miRNA from 1 species